rnacentral:rRNA from 1 species
AUGCCGCGUGUAUGAAGAAGGCCUUCGGGUUGUAAAGUACUUUCAGCGGGGAGGAAGGGAGUAAAGUUAAUACCUUUGCUCAUUGACGUUACCCGCAGAAGAAGCACCGGCUAACUCCGUGCCAGCAGCCGCGGUAAUACGGAGGGUGCAAGCGUUAAUCGGAAUUACUGGGCGUAAAGCGCACGCAGGCGGUUUGUUAAGUCAGAUGUGAAAUCCCCGGGCUCAACCUGGGAACUGCAUCUGAUACUGGCAAGCUUGAGUCUCGUAGAGGGGGGUAGAAUUCCAGGUGUAGCGGUGAAAUGCGUAGAGAUCUGGAGGAAUACCGGUGGCGAAGGCGGCCCCCUGGACGAAGACUGACGCUCAGGUGCGAAAGCGUGGGGAGCAAACAGGAUUAGAUACCCCC